rnacentral:pre_miRNA from 1 species
AGUCCUGUUUGUUAGCCAAGGAUGACUUGCCUGCUUCUUGCAUGAGGCUUUGAUCAUGGUUGCCCUUCUGGUCGACGGACACGUACGAUUGCAGGGUCACCAGGCAGGUCAUCUUGGCAUAUCUGACGUGCUCU